AGAGUUUGAUCAUGGCUCAGAACGUACGCUGGCGGCACGCCUAACACAUGCAAGUCGAACGAAGUAGCAAUACUUAGUGGCAGACGGGUGAGUAACAUGUAGGUAUCUUCCCUUUGGCCUGGAAUAACACGAGGAAACUUGUGCUAAUACCAGAUAAGUCUUCACAGAGAAAGCUUUAUGCACCAUUGGAUGAGCCUGCACUUGAUUAGUUUGUUGGUAGGGUAAUGGCCUACCAAGACUGUGAUCAAUAGCUGAUUUGAGAGGAUGAUCAGCCACAUUGGGACUGAGACACGGCCCAAACUCCUACGGGAGGCAGCAGUGGGGAAUCUUGCACAAUGGAGGAAACUCUGAUGCAGCGAUGCCGCGUGAGUGAAGAAGGCCCUUGGGUUGUAAAGCUCUUUCGUCGGGGAAGAAAAUGACUGUACCCGAAUAAGAAGGUCCGGCUAACUUCGUGCCAGCAGCCGCGGUAAUACGAAGGGACCUAGCGUAGUUCGGAAUUACUGGGCUUAAAGAGUUCGUAGGUGGUGAAAAAGUUGGUGGUGAAAUCCCAGAGCUUAACUCUGGAACUGCCAUCAAAACUUUUCAGCUAGAGUUUGAUAGAGGAAAGCAGAAUUUCUAGUGUAGAGGUGAAAUUCGUAGAUAUUAGAAAGAAUACCAAUUGCGAAGGCAGCUUUCUGGAUCAUUACUGACACUGAGGAACGAAAGCAUGGGUAGCGAAGAGGAUUAGAUACCCUCGUAGUCCAUGCCGUAAACGAUGUGUGUUAGACGUUGGAAAUUUAUUUUCAGUGUCGCAGCGAAAGCGAUAAACACACCGCCUGGGGAGUACGACCGCAAGGUUAAAACUCAAAUGAAUUGACGGGGACCCGCACAAGUAGUGGAGCAUGUGGUUUAAUUCGAAGAUACGCGCAGAACCUUACCAACACUUGACAUGUUCGUCGCGACUUUAAGAGAUUAAAGUUUUCGGUUCGGCCGGACGAAACACAGGUGCUGCAUGGCUGUCGUCAGCUCGUGUCGUGAGAUGUUGGGUUAAGUCCCGCAACGAGCGCAACCCUCACUUUUAGUUGCCAUCAUUAAGUUGGGCACUCUGAAAGAACUGCCAGUGAUAAGCUGGAGGAAGGUGGGGAUGACGUCAAGUCCUCAUGGCCCUUACGUGUUGGGCUACACACGUGCUACAAUGGUAUUUACAACAGGAAGCAAAACGGCGACGUUAAGCAAAUCCUUAAAAAAUACCUCAGUUCGGAUUGCACUCUGCAACUCGAGUGCAUGAAGCUGGAAUUACUAGUAAUCGUGGAUCAGCGUGCCACGGUGAAUGCGUUCCCGGGUCUUGUACACACCGCCCGUCACACCAUGGGAGUUGGUUCUACCUUAAGGCAAGGUUUCAAACCCUUGACCACGGUAUAGUCAGCGACUGGGGUGAAGUCGUAACAAGGUAGCCGUA
rnacentral:rRNA from 1 species